rnacentral:piRNA from 1 species
UGGAUAUGGCAGUCUCUA